rnacentral:rRNA from 1 species
GUUAGGAAUAUUGGACAAUGGGCGCAAGCCUGAUCCAGCCAUGCCGCGUGAGUGAUGAAGGCCUUCGGGUUGUAAAGCUCUUUAGCCGAUGAUUAUAAUGACUGUAGUCGGAAAAUAAGCCCCGGCUAACUUCGUGCCAGCAGCCGCGGUAAUACGAAGGGGGCGAGCGUUAUUCGGAAUCACUGGGCGUAAAGCGUGCGUAGGCGGCUUUGCAAGUUGGGAGUGAAAGCCCAGGGCUCAACCCUGGAAUUGCUCUCAAAACUGCAAGGCUCGAAUUCGGGAGAGGAUAGCGGAAUUGUCAGUGUAGCAGUGAAAUGCGUAGAUAUUGACAGGAACACCAGUAGCGUAAGCGGCUAUCUGGACCGAUAUUGACGCUGAGGCACGAAAGCGUGGGGAUCAAACAGGAUUAGAAACCCUUGUAGUCC